UGGAGAUACUGGGUAUUGAUCCCAAUACCUCUCACAUGCUAAGCGAGCGCUCUACCAUCUGAGAUACAUCCCC
rnacentral:tRNA from 1 species